rnacentral:rRNA from 1 species
UACGGGGGGAGCAAGCGUUGUUCGGAUUUACUGGGCGUAAAGGGCGCGUAGGCGGCCAGCACAAGUCAGUUGUGAAAUCUCCGAGCUUAACUCGGAAAGGUCAACUGAUACUGUGCGGCUAGAGUGCAGAAGGGGCAACUGGAAUUCUUGGUGUAGCGGUGAAAUGCGUAGAUAUCAGGAGGAACACCGAUGGCGAAGGCAGGUCUCUGGGCCACUACUGACGCUGAGAAGCGAAAGCAUGGGGAGCGAACAGG